UACAGAGGUUGCAAGCGUUGUUCGGAUUUAUUGGGCGUAAAGGGUUCGUAGGCGGAUCGGUAAGUCAGAUGUGAAAUCCCACAGCUCAACUGUGGAACUGCAUUUGAAACUUCCGGACUAGAGUGUGAGAGGGGUAAAGGGAAUUCCCGGUGUAAGGGUGAAAUCUGCAGAGAUCGGGAGGAACACCAGUCGCGAAGGCGCUUUACUGGCUCACUACUGACGCUCAGGAACGAAAGCUAGGGUAGCAAACGGG
rnacentral:rRNA from 1 species